ACUCCUACCAGGAAUCUAGACUCUUCUAGACUCCUUCUUCCUUUCAACCAGCAAAAGGGCCUGCAAACAACCACCAAGGGCCCACCUGCUUGGGCUGCCGCCCUCCUUGCACAGGGUCCUGCUCUCCUGACUGCCCCUGGGCAGCUCUUGCUGAGGGAGCCGGGCUGCCCCCUGCCCCACGGCACCCACUCGCCGCAGCACCCACUGCAGCCCAUCCCUAAACAAAGGCCAAGAUGGCGCCUUGCGCUGCCAUCUCAGCCUUGCUGCGCUUCAGGGGUGGCGGUAAAGAAAGCAAAGAAACAUGAGGAGAAGAUUAAAAGUUAUCACCAGAUAUCCUCUGAAAUUCAAAGCAGUGAUUUAUUAGCCAAGAAGGAAUGUAUUACCUUUGAUACAUCUGGAAGCACAGAUUUUUCCCUGAUCCUACAGCCAGCUAUCACACCACCGAUCAGCCACACCGACCUCCAGGACUGCAGCCACAGCAAUGUUCUCCCAGCGCUACAGUAGCACCAUUUGCAAUCUUCAUCUUCAGGGUGACACGCAAAGCGCAGAUACUGAUCUUCAAACUCUGUAUGAUGAUAGUACCAAGGUCUUUGCAUAAGUGUCACCGUGACAAAGAAAAUGCUAGCGCUACCAAUCUAUUGAGACAAGUGGGAACUAGAGAUACAGUCAAUAAAUACCCUUUCUUUACUUCCA
rnacentral:lncRNA from 1 species